UGGGGAAUUUUGGACAAUGGGGGCAACCCUGAUCCAGCCAUGCCGCGUGAGUGAAGAAGGCCUUCGGGUUGUAAAGCUCUUUCGGCCGGGAAGAAAUCGCUUCGGCUAAUACCUGGAGUGGAUGACGGUACCGGAAGAAGAAGCACCGGCUAACUACGUGCCAGCAGCCGCGGUAAUACGUAGGGUGCGAGCGUUAAUCGGAAUUACUGGGCGUAAAGGGUGCGCAGGCGGUUUUGUAAGUCAGAUGUGAAAUCCCCGGGCUUAACCUGGGAAUGGCGUUUGAAACUGCAAGGCUAGAGUGUAGCAGAGGGGAAUGGAAUUCCGCGUGUAGCAGUGAAAUGCGUAGAUAUGCGGAGGAACACCGAUGGCGAAGGCAGCUCCCUGGGCUAACACUGACGCUCA
rnacentral:rRNA from 1 species